GACGAACGCUGGCGGCGUGCUUAACACAUGCAAGUCGAACGGAAAGGCCCUGCUUUUGUGGGGUGCUCGAGUGGCGAACGGGUGAGUAACACGUGAGUAACCUGCCCUUGACUUUGGGAUAACUUCAGGAAACUGGGGCUAAUACCGGAUAGGAGCUCCUGCUGCAUGGUGGGGGUUGGAAAGUUUCGGCGGUUGGGGAUGGACUCGCGGCUUAUCAGCUUGUUGGUGGGGUAGUGGCUUACCAAGGCUUUGACGGGUAGCCGGCCUGAGAGGGUGACCGGCAACAUGGGGAUGGGGAUACGGCCCAGAUCCUUAGGGGAGGAAGAGUGGGGAAUUAUGGAACAAGGGGGGAAGCCUGAUGCAGCAACGCCGCGUGCGGGAUGACGGCCUUCGGGUUGUAAACCGCUUUCGCCUGUGACGAAGCGUGAGUGACGGUAAUGGGUAAAGAAGCACCGGCUAACUACGUG
rnacentral:rRNA from 1 species